AAACCACAACAGUCCUUUUUUGAUGCCCAACAUGGGGCUUGAAGGGUUUGAGAUAAUGACAGUUUUGACUGAAAUGUGCUAGAUUGAAUUUAUAGCUAUUAUUUCUGUUUAGCUAUUAAUCGGCAGGCUCCUGUGCUUGCCAUGGAGCUUGCUU